rnacentral:RNase_P_RNA from 1 species
GGAGGCGGGCCGGCCAUCGCCGCGUCCGGUUCGGGCGUGGAGGAAAGUCCGGGCUCCGAAGAGCAGGGUGCCGGGUAAUCCCCGGGCGUCCGCGCCAAGGCGCGGGCGACAGACAGUGCAGCAGAGAACAGACCGCCGGGCAACCGUGCCGCAAGGGACGGCGCGUCCGGCAAGGGUGAAACGGUGGGGUAAGAGCCCACCACUCCGGCGGCGACGCCGGAGGUAUGGCAAACCUCGCCCGGAGCAAAGCCAAGCAGCGGGUCGGGUUGCUCGCCACAUGAGGGCGGUCCCUCCGGGGACGCCGUCCUCGGGCCCGCGGGUAGGCUGCUCGAGUGCCGCGCCGGCGCCAUCCGGCGCCGUCGCGUGCGCCAGAUGAAUGAUGGCCCGCCCCGGUGGCGGCCGGGCCGCGCAGGCGCCCCGGUACGCGUCGGAGUGAACAGAACCCGGCUUACGGGCCCGCCUCCUCUU